rnacentral:rRNA from 1 species
GUAGGCGGUUUAAUAAGUGAAUAGUGAAACCUGGUGGCUCAACCAUACAGACUAUUAUUCGAACUGUUAAACUCGAGAGCAGAAGAGGUAGCUGGAAUUUCUAGUGUAGGAGUGAAAUCCGUAGAUAUUAGAAGGAACACCGAUGGCGUAGGCAGGCUACUGGGCNUGUUUCUGACACUGAGGCACGAAAGCGUGGGGAGCGAACCGGAUUAGAUACCCGGGUAGUCCACGCCGUAAACGAUGGAUACUAGCUGUUUGGGGUAUCGACCCCCUGAGUAGCGAAGCUAACGCGUUAAGUAUCCCGCCUGUGGAGUACGAUCGCAAGAUUAAAACAUAAAGGAAUUGACGGGGACCCGCACAAGCGGUGGAUCAUGUUCUUUAAUUCGAUGAUAACCGAUAAACCUUACCAGGUCUUGACAUCCUUGGAAUCUUUCAGAAAUGAGAGAGUGCUUUUUAAGAGCCAAGUGACAGGUGAUGCAUGGCCGUCGUCAGCUCGUGUCGUGAGAUGUUUGGUUAAGUCCAUCAACGAGCGCAACCCUUGUCAGUAGUUGUAUUUUUCUACUGAGACUGCCCCGGUAACGGGGAGGAAGGAGGGGAUGACGUCAGGUCAGUAUUUCCCUUACGUCCUGGGCUAGAAACGUGAUACAAUGGCUAGUACAAUGCGCAGCGAAGCCGCGAGGU